ACGUAUCUACCCAACUGGAGAAUAGACUAACCACACUUUUUCUUGGUAUAGAGCACUAUCUGAUUUUUCAGAAAGUACACAGAUCACCAUAGUUACAAAUUAUACGCCUCAGUCCCUUCUCCAUUUAUCACAUUCUCCUCCCCUCUUCGCCAAAUUCAGCCAAAUCCGUCGGCGCCACACAAUUUCUUCCUCCAAUGACUAAUCGAUUGAGCUGCCGCUUGUUACGCGGAGAUUAAUCGAUUAAUCGGCCGCUUGUUACGCUUAUUUUGGUCUGAACAUCAAUUUCACUGCCGUCAAUUGCGUUCAGUUCGGAGGAUACCAAUUGACUCUGGAUUCUCCAUGGGUAACGAAGACGAAGGUCGCAAGGUAGGUGUACCACAACGGGCCGACUUUUACAUCUUGCCAUGGUUGUCGAUUUGAAACGACUCUACUGAAUGUAAAUUGAGAUUUAUUAUACCCAGAUGGAGUGUUGAGUUUGUAAUUGGUGAGAUUUAUGUUUGCUCUUCCUGUAAUCUAUUUGUUGGUGUGUUCGUACUCUCCCCAAAACAAAGGUAUGAAUUGAAAAAUAUUAUGCAAUUAUUGAUAUAAUGAUGUUAAUAAUAGAAAAUAAUUGAAUCUUAAGAUGAUAUUGCAAUUCUAUUUUUGUGUUUAUAGAAUAAAAUUCUUCCUUCAUAUACAAUUUUUGAUGUUUGAUUUUGCCAGCUUUUUACCUUGCUCAUGUUCAAUCACACGCAUAUUCUAUUCUCCUCCAUUUAGGUUGUGCAUAGGUGUCACGAAACGACUACUGUGAUGAUUUUGAUUGAUCAAAUUAUAAGGAAUCAGCAAAUAAAUCUUUUGUUGAUAGCUUUGACGCUAAAAAUGCUUGGUCCUAGGAUCUGUAAGAGGAAACGCUCAAUUAGAGGUGACCAAUGGGAACUGCUUGAUAGAAUACCUGACCAUGUUAAGUAUUUAGAUAGGCUAGUGCGUGUCUCAGACCGGUCAUGCAUUGAUAAUUUACGGAUGGAUAGAAAUACUUUUGGGCGUUUGUGUCGUCUUCUCCGUGGCCGUGCCGGCUUAAUUGACCAGAAAUUUGUUACUGUCGAGGAACAAGUAGCCAUGUUCUUAUGUGUUCUAUCUCACCAUAAGAAACUUCGAGUAGUAUGUUAUGAUUUCAUGCGAUCUUCCCAAACUGUGUCACGCUACGUACACAUUGUGUUUCGUGGAGUGCUUACUCUUCAUAAUUUGUUUUUGGUGAAACCCACGGCUGUAGGCGAUGACUGCACGGACCGACGUUGGAAGUGGUUUAAGGGUGCCUUGGAGCUCUAGACGGGACAUAUAUCAAUGUUCGGGUGCCUAUUGCAGACACACCGUGUUACCGCAAUAGGAAAGGUCAUAUCACAACCAACACACUUGCCGUUUGUGACCCACAAUUCCGAUUCAUUUAUAUCCUACUUGGAUGAGAGGGAUCUGCUGGGAUUCACGGAUUUUAUGCGAAGCGAUUAGCCGACCACUUGGCCUUAAAUUGCCUAAAGGUAAAUAUUAUCUCUGUGAUAGUGGGUACUCAAAUAGUGAUGGAUUUAUGACCCCGUUCAAGGGAGUUCGCUAUCAUUUGAAGGAGUGGGGCCCUGGUAGCCAAGCCCCGCAGACGACGGAGGAGUUGUUUAACUUGAGGCACGCAAAGACAAGGAAUGUAAUAGAGCGCUCUUUUGCGCCGUGCUGAAGAUGCGAUGAGCCAAAUAGAGGUCGAUCCGAUUGAGACUGAGCUGAGCAGUCAAAAUGAAGAUGGCAACGAGAGUGAUAAUGAUGAGGUGCUUGGUGAACAUAUCACUUGUGUUGAGCCAACAACAGCGUGGAAUAAGAAAAGAUAUGAUCUAGCUAGAGAAAUAUGGGCUGAGCGACAGAAUAUAUAAUUUAGAAUGUUGUGAUCUCUUUGAUGUAACCUUAGCACUUCAUUUCAUUUUCUUGGUAUUUCCAACUAAGCUACUCUUUUGUGAACAUUUGGUGACCGAGACUUGAAUUUUUUUUAAGUUGUUGACAUUUUCAGCUCUUGAUUGUAACCUGUAGGGCUGUUUUAAGAUGCCAUUUUCAUAUGUUAUUUUAAUCUAUUACUGAAAUUUGUGAA